UCGGGUAUGGUGUAACGGCUAACAUUGCCGCCUCUCAUGUACCAGGCAUCCGGGGACCAUAGUACGCGGCAGCUCGGGGUUCGAUUCCCCGUACCCGAA